rnacentral:rRNA from 1 species
UACGGAGGGGGCUAGCGUUGUUCGGAAUUACUGGGCGUAAAGAGCGUGUAGGCGGCCAAGCAGGUCCGCUGUGAAAACUCGAGGCUCAACCUCGAGACGUCGGUGGAAACCGUUUGGCUAGAGUCCGGAAGAGGAGAGUGGAAUUCCCGAUGUAGCGGUGAAAUGCGCAGAUAUCGGGAGGAACAUCCGUGGCGAAGGCGACUACCUGGACCAGCACUGACACUGAGGCACGAAAGCGUGGGGAGCAAACAGG